CAGCCGCCGCGGUAAUACGAAGGGUGCAAGCGUUAAUCGGAAUUACUGGGCGUAAAGCGUGCGUAGGCGGUGAGUUAAGUCUGCUGUGAAAUCCCCGGGCUCAACCUGGGAAUGGCAGUGGAUACUGGCUCGCUAGAGUGUGUCAGAGGGUGGUGGAAUUCCCGGUGUAGCGGUGAAAUGCGUAGAGAUCGGGAGGAACAUCAGUGGCGAAGGCGGCCAUCUGGGACAACACUGACGCUGAGGCACGAAAGCGUGGGGAGCAAACAGGAUUAGAUACCCGGGUAGUCCCUGUCUCUUAUAC
rnacentral:rRNA from 1 species